rnacentral:lncRNA from 10 species
UGAAUGACAGGCUAACAACUGCAAUUCAAAAGCCAGUAGUUACUCAUAGCCUCCUGAUGGCUGUCCUUGUCAACUGUGAACCCAUCAAAGGACAUCUAAAAUUCAACAUGGGACAGUGUAACAGAUUAAUUCAACACCCUCUCCACAAUCCCCUCAAAGAUGAAUGCAUAUUUUCUUCCUGUAGCAGCCCUCCAUCCUGAUUUAUUUCCAAGCUGCUUCACCCAGCAGCCAGAGCCUUCCACUCUCCAAUCCUGUCCAGUCGCUACCCUUUCCUCUCAGCGCUGCUUCGCUCUCACUUGACCACCCAGCAAGAGCACAGGAUUUCCUGUGUCCUCCAGCCAUGUAAUUACUUCUCCACUUUCAUUGCCUGGUGAGGGCUGGUUAUGCUUUAAAAAUAUGUGCUACC